CCAGACUCCUACGGGAGGCAGCAGUGGGGAAUAUUGCGCAAUGGGCGAAAGCCUGACGCAGCGACGCCGCGUGAGGGAUGAAGGUCUUCGGAUCGUAAACCUCUGUCAGCAGGGAAGAACGGUCACUGUGCUAAUCAGCAGUGAAUUGACGGUACCUGCAAAGGAAGCACCGGCUAACUCCGUGCCAGCAGCCGCGGUAAUACGGGGGAUGCAAGCGUUGUCCGGAAUCAUUGGGCGUAAAGAGUUCGUAGGUGGCACGUUAAGUCUGGUGUUAAAUGCAGAGGCUCAACCUCUGUUCGGCACUGGAUACUGGCGAGCUUGAAUGCGGUAGAGGUAAAGGGAAUUCCUGGUGUAGCGGUGAAAUGCGUAGAUAUUAGGAGGAACACCAGUGGCGAAGGCGUCUUACUGGACCGAAACUGACGUUGAGGCUCGAAAGCGUGGGGAGCAAACAGGAUUAGAUACCCGUGUA
rnacentral:rRNA from 1 species